rnacentral:rRNA from 1 species
GAUGAACGCUGGCGGCGUGCCUAAUACAUGCAAGUCGAGCGAACAGACGAGGAGCUUGCUCCUCUGACGUUAGCGGCGGACGGGUGAGUAAAACGUGGAUAACCUACCUAUAAGACUGGAAUAACUUCGGGAAACCGGAGCUAAUACCGGAUAAUAUAUUGAACCGCAUGGUUCAAUAGUGAAAGACGGUUUUGCUGUCACUUAUAGAUGGAUCCGCGCCGCAUUAGCUAGUUGGUAAGGUAACGGCUUACCAAGGCGGCGAUGCGUAGCCGACCUGAGAGGGUGAGCGACCACACUGGAACUGGUACACGGUCCAGACGCCUACGGGAGGCAGCAGUAGGGAAUCUUCCGCAAUGGGCGAAAGCCUGACGGAGCAACGCCGCGUGAGUGAUGAAGGUCUUCGGAUCGUAAGACUCUGUUAUUAGGGAAGAACAAAUGUGUAAGUAACUAUGCACGUCUUGACGGUACCUAAUCAGAAAGCCACGGCUAACUACGUG